GUGGCUGUAGCUCAGUUGGUAGAGCACCUGGUUGUGGUCCAGGUGGUCGCCGGUUCAAGUCCGGUUAGCCACC
rnacentral:tRNA from 1 species